UUGUUUCCAGAACAUCAUCACUUUCUACUUGUUCCGGUUACUAUGGACGUCAAUGUCGGGCUAUUUACGAGGUUCAUCAUGUGGGGUUAUAUCUGUCUGACAUUGCUAGUAAACCCAGUGUUGUCCCAGUAUGAUUCAACGCCAGAGAAUGAGGAUUCGUCCUCGCAUUCCACAUUGUUCAUAGCCCUUGGCGGAGGAGGAGGAUUUUCGGGUAUAAUCGUCCUGUGUUGCAUCUACUACUUCUGCUGCAAAUAAUGAUAUAGAGUAGAUACAAAAUGAAAACUUAUCAAAAAUUAUAUUAUUAAAUUCCGGAUGUUUUCUAAUUCUUUUUAAUGUAACAUGAUUUCAAAAUACAUUCUAUGAUAUCCUACCUUUCUAUGUGUAAGGAAUGUAUUGGAGAUCUGGAAUGCGAAUACUUCACUGAUGUUGUAUCUUUUGGGACAAGGAUGAAUACAAUGCUUAUUGUUGACAGUUUAUUGUUGCGUUAAGUAUUGUUGUGAAUGAAAUACAUUUGACACCAACAAGUACGACAGGGACUACACAUAUCUUUAAAGAUGCUACAUGUUCGAUAAAGUAUAAUGAUGACCGACUGAACAUACAAAUACCAAUAGUUAAAAACUUUACACUAUCAGCACCCUCCUAAAUUAAGUUUUCCUUUUACCUUUUUGUUUUGAAUGGAUAAAUAAUUAAAUCCAUCAUGCUUCACCUAUAUGUUUUGGAUUUAACUUUAGGUCUUAUAAGCGAUGAAUAUGAGGAGUCAGUAAUCAAUUUUUCAGUUUGUUGGUGUUGGUUAGAUACAUUUCGAUACAACGGGUGUCGUUUUUGGGAAAAGCAGUGUAUUUGGCGAUGUAGAAUCUUUAAUAUUUCAGAUCACUGAGUGUAUAUAAUUGUGGCAAUGUCUUUCAUGAUUAGAUAUAUAAUGAGAUAAUGCCCUUUCCAGACUAUGAUCCCGGCACCAAACA